rnacentral:lncRNA from 1 species
AGUUCUGGGGUGUCUCCACCAUGGCCUGGACCCCUCUCUGGCUCACUCUCCUCACUCUUUGCAUAGGUUCUGUGGUUUCUUCUGAGCUGACUCAGGACCCUGCUGUGUCUGUGGCCUUGGGACAGACAGUCAGGAUCACAUGCCAAGGAGACAGCCUCAGAAGCUAUUAUGCAAGCUGGUACCAGCAGAAGCCAGGACAGGCCCCUGUACUUGUCAUCUAUGGUAAAAACAACCGGCCCUCAGGGAUCCCAGACCGAUUCUCUGGCUCCAGCUCAGGAAACACAGCUUCCUUGACCAUCACUGGGGCUCAGGCGGAAGAUGAGGCUGACUAUUACUGUAACUCCCGGGACAGCAGUGGUAACCAUCUCACAUUGACACAGACAGAUGGGGAAGUCAGCCCAAGGCCAACCCCACUGUCACUCUGUUCCCGCCCUCCUCUGAGGAGCUCCAAGCCAACAAGGCCACACUAGUGUGUCUGAUCAGUGACUUCUACCCGGGAGCUGUGACAGUGGCCUGGAAGGCAGAUGGCAGCCCCGUCAAGGCGGGAGUGGAGACCACCAAACCCUCCAAACAGAGCAACAACAAGUACGCGGCCAGCAGCUACCUGAGCCUGACGCCCGAGCAGUGGAAGUCCCACAGAAGCUACAGCUGCCAGGUCACGCAUGAAGGGAGCACCGUGGAGAAGACAGUGGCCCCUACAGAAUGUUCAUAGGUUCCCAACUCUAACCCCACCCACGGGAGCCUGGAGCUGCAGGAUCCCAGGGGAGGGGUCUCUCUCCCCAUCCCAAGUCAUCCAGCCCUUCUCCCUGCACUCAUGAAACCCCAAUAAAUAUCCUCAUUGACA